rnacentral:rRNA from 1 species
AGAGUUUGAUCAUGGCUCAGGAUGAACGCUAGCGGCAGGCUUAACACAUGCAAGUCGAGGGGUAUAGGUUUUCGGACCUAGAGACCGGCGCACGGGUGCGUAACGCGUAUGCAAUCUACCUUUUACAGAGGGAUAGCCCAGAGAAAUUUGGAUUAAUACCUCAUAGUAUUAUUGAAUGGCAUCAUUUAAUAAUUAAAGUCACAACGGUAAAAGAUGAGCAUGCGUCCCAUUAGCUAGUUGGUAAGGUAACGGCUUACCAAGGCUACGAUGGGUAGGGGUCCUGAGAGGGAGAUCCCCCACACUGGUACUGAGACACGGACCAGACUCCUACGGGAGGCAGCAGUGAGGAAUAUUGGUCAAUGGGCGCAAGCCUGAACCAGCCAUGCCGCGUGCAGGAUGAAGCAUCUAUGGUGUGUAAACUGCUUUUGUACGAGAAGAAACACUCCUUCGUGAAGGAGCUUGACGGUAUCGUAAGAAUAAGGACCGGCUAACUCCGUGCCAGCAGCCGCGGUAAUACGGAGGGUCCAAGCGUUAUCCGGAAUCAUUGGGUUUAAAGGGUCCGUAGGCGGUUUUGUAAGUCAGUGGUGAAAGCCCAUCGCUCAACGGUGGAACGGCCAUUGAAACUGCAAGACUUGAAUUAUUAGGAAGUAACUAGAAUAUGUAGUGUAGCGGUGAAAUGCUUAGAGAUUACAUGGAAUACCAAUUGCGAAGGCAGGUUACUACUAAUUGAUUGACGCUGAUGGGCGAAAGCGUGGGUAGCGAACAGGAUUAGAUACCCUAGUAGUCC